UACGGAGGGUGCAAGCGUUGUUCGGAAUUACUGGGCGUAAAGCACGCGUAGGCGGCUUGGUAAGUUGGAAGUGAAAUCCCGGGGCUUAACUCCGGAACUGCUUUCAAAACUAUCAAGCUAGAGUAUGGCAGGGGACAGUGGAAUUCCUAGUGUAGAGGUGAAAUUCGUAGAUAUUAGGAGGAACACCAGUGGCGAAAGCGACUGUCUGGACCAUUACUGACGCUGAGGCGUGAAAGCGUGGGGAGCAAACAGG
rnacentral:rRNA from 1 species